rnacentral:rRNA from 1 species
UACGUAGGGUGCGAGCGUUAAUCGGAAUUACUGGGCGUAAAGGGUUCGUAGGCGGUGUAGCAAGUCGGGAGUGAAAUCUCUGGGCUUAACCCAGAGGCUGCUUCCGAAACUGCUGUGCUUGAGUGUGGGAGAGGCGCGUGGAAUUGCAGGUGUAGCGGUGAAAUGCGUAGAUAUCUGCAGGAACACCCGUGGCGAAAGCGGCGCGCUGGACCACUACUGACGCUGAGGAACGAAAGCUAGGGGAGCAAACAGG